rnacentral:lncRNA from 1 species
GCAACGUACUUUCGAUAUUCCUGACACGAAACCCAUUACCUGACUGCUCGUAGUGCAAGGUUACAAACGAGACUUAUAAAAGUUUCUAAACCGCCAUCGCCAAUCAAAGCCCAGCCCCGCAACACCAAGCAAGCACACGAUCGUGACCGGAAAGCCCUAAGAAAUGCGCUUGGCACGUGUGUGGAGUGUGGGAGUGGCACGGCCACGCACAAGCACGUCCAAGCUAGGCCACGUCAAACCAAGCUAGGUAUGGUUGCCACGUCACGAAAAACGUGUCGCGCCAUGACGUGACGAAGCAAGCCCACCCUGGAGCCAUUAUCCGCCACCUUAUCAUCGAGGCGGAGCCUCAAGGGGCCUUACGGACCCAUCCGGGAGGGGAACGCAAUCCCAUACAUAUCCACAAAACCCGGCAUGUAAGGUCGCAUUCAUACCCACAUAUCACACAGUAACGCCGUGCGAACAGUAUUUGAGGAGGGGUGCCGCCGUCCAACGUCGAGAGCCCGACAAUUGGCAAGGAGGACGAGGACGAGGGGAGAAGACGAGUGCGUGUGAGUAUGUGUACAUGCAAACACAUGUACCACCAUUUACCAUUUACACGCAAAGCAACACCCCGUGGGUGCAGUAGGUAAAAAAGUAUACUUGCAGCGAAAGAUGCCUGGUCACGAAUAUGUACAUAUAUAUAACACCCUCAGCCCGCAACCCUAUUAAUUCCCCUCUCCGCAUUUCAUAGAUCCCCUGCUCUCGCCCGGCUCUCACUCUUCUCCCCUUCGUACGAGUUUUUCCUAUGUAAAGCGUAGUUAUUACGCGCACCACACCACACCGCAUCGCGAAGCAUGCGGAACGCGCACUGUCUCGAGGAGUGCAUAACCUCCACAUUCAACUCAGCGAGCUACUUGAGGCUUGCACCCCCUUCUCCUCUCCUCACAGACACAGAAAGCAUAUGACAGCAAGGGUCAGCCCUCCAUGACGAUGGCCCCGAAGACAAAAAAAACUCAAGGCACAAUUUCGACGAACCCCCAGGUGAUUAAAUCUAUAGAAAGAAACACUACAAAACCACCUGCACCAACACCAGCACCUGCACACGAUUGCAAAGCCACAACGCUCCGUCUGCAGUGGCAGCAUCACUGUGCCGUUUCACACUGUGCCCUUCAAAACUUUUGCUGGACCGUGCCUGUCCGCACGGUCUGACGCCUGCCUCCAUAUCUACCUGUGCAUCGUCACUGUCACGAAUACACAGCUACGAAGACAUAUGUACAUACAUACAUACAUACAUACAUACAUACAUACAUACAUACAUACAUACAUACAUACAUACAUACAUACAUACAUACAUACAUACAGGGAGCCGCUUUUCAAGGCGGUCCUUGAGGUCUCUUUGGGCCUCGUGGCAACGUGGCAGGGCCCCCUGAACCCAGGUCUCGCAGUCGGGAAUGCAAUAUGAACACGACAUGUACACAGCUUCAUUUAAAACACACAUAUACACACUUGCAUACAUACAUGCAUACAUACAUGCACAGCUCACACCACCCUCAUGACGAAGUGGCGGUAGGCCAGGAAGAGGCUGCCCGCCGUGAACCAGCAGCUGCCGGCCACCCAGAUCCACAGAACGGUGACCAGCACGCUGUGGGGACCCGAAAGGGGCCCGCGCUGAAAGAGCCCCGUGCCGAAGAAGAAACACCUGAGCCAGCCAGCCAGCACAACCAGGGCAGAAAAC